UACGUAGGGUGCGAGCGUUAAUCGGAAUUACUGGGCGUAAAGGGUGCGCAGGCGGUUGUACAAGACGGAUGUGAAAUCCCCGGGCUUAACCUGGGAAUGGCAUUCGUGACUGUACGGCUAGAGUGUGUCAGAGGGGGGUAGAAUUCCACGUGUAGCAGUGAAAUGCGUAGAUAUGUGGAGGAAUACCGAUGGCGAAGGCAGCCCCCUGGGAUAACACUGACGCUCAUGCACGAAAGCGUGGGGAGCAAACAGGAUUAGAUACCCUGGUAGUCCACGCCCUAAACGAUGUCAACUAGUUGUCGGGUCUUAAUUGACUUGGUAACGCAGCUAACGCGUGAAGUUGACCGCCUGGGGAGUACGGUCGCAAGAUUA
rnacentral:rRNA from 1 species